ACCUAAAUUGACAUGAACAUCAUCAUCAAUCUUCACAUAGAACUCAGCAUCCCAUUUCGCAACUGCAAGGGAGAAGAAAGCUUUCGUUUUUGCAGUUAACUCAUGAUAGCCUUCUACGUGAUCAAGUCGAAGAAUGUCAUUAUGCUGAGCAUCUUCACUAUCAAUGGCUCGAUCUAAAAUGCUAUUCGAUAUCGCGCUGUGGCCUAUCAUGAAACGCACAAUUAUCCCCUUUUCUUGCUCUAAUCUAUGUAGCUUUGUACCUUGAGGCAUCCAAGUCUCUCUAAUAGAAUCGCGCCUUUUUCUACUACUGAAGGCCGUGUUUAUCCCAAUAACCAUAAAUGUCUUCUUUCUCGUUCCACUUCCUCCAGAAUCUGUCCUCAAGGAAGGAACCUCUUCAGUUAUCCGUGGAAUUAGAGGAUCCUUAGUUGAAGGCAGCUCACUUUGAAUCUUAGCAAUUGAAUCAUCCAACGAUUGGAUAGCUACUUGUGCUUUGUUAAACUCUCCCAUCAUCUCCUCCUUCUGACUGUUUUUGGUUUCACAAUCAUCAGAAACAGAAGGCAAGACUCUUUCUUGCGUCUGGCGCCUUCCA
rnacentral:misc_RNA from 1 species